CUACGUGCCAGCAGCCGCGGUAAUACGUAGGGGGCAAGCGUUAUCCGGAUUUACUGGGUGUAAAGGGAGCGCAGGCGGUUUGGCAAGUUGAGAGUGGAAGCAGGGGGCUCAACCCCCUGACUGCUCCCAAAACUGUUAAACUUGAGUAUGGGAGAGGCAGGCGGAAUUCCUAGUGUAGCGGUGAAAUGCUUAGAUAUUAGGAAGAACACCGGUGGCGAAGGCGGCCUGCUGGACCAAAACUGACGCUGAGGCUCGAAAGCGUGGGUAGCAAACAGGAUUAGAUACCCUGGUAGUCCACGCUGUAAACGAUGAAUACUAGGUGCUGGGAGGCAUAAGCCUUUCGGUGCCGUCGCAAACGCAUUAAGUAUUCCACCUGGGGAGUACGUUCGCAAGAAUGAAACUCAAAGGAAUUGACGGGGACCCGCACAAGCGGUGGAGCAUGUGGUUUAAUUCGACGCAACGCGAAGAACCUUACCAAGGCUUGACAU
rnacentral:rRNA from 1 species